rnacentral:misc_RNA from 1 species
GAUGAAGAACGCAGUGAAAUGCGAUAAGUAAUGUGAAUUGCAGAAUUCAGUGAAUCAUCGAAUCUUUGAACGCACAUUGCGCCCGCUAGUAUUCUGGCGGGCAUGCCUGUCCGAGCGUCAUUUCAACCCUCAAGCCCCCGGGCUUGGUGUUGGGGAUCGGCGAGCCUCCGCGCCCGCCGUCCCCUAAAUCUAGUGGCGGUCUCGCUGUAGCUUCCUUUGCGUAGUAGCACACCUCGCACUGGGAAACAGCGCGGCCACGCCGUUAAACCCCCAACUUCUGAACGUUUGACCUCGGAUCAGGUAGGAAUACCCGCUGAACUUAAGCAUAUCAAUAAGCGGAGGA